rnacentral:rRNA from 1 species
CCCUUAGAUGUCCUGGGCCGCACGCGCGCUACACUGAACGGAUCAGCGCGUUUUCCCUCCCCGAGAGGGACGGGUAACCUGCUGAGCCCCGUUCGUGGUAGGGAUCGGGGCUUGCAAUUAUUCCCCGUGAACCAGGAAUUCCCAGUAGGCGCAAGUCAUAAGCUUGCGUCGAUUACGUCCCUGCCCUUUGUACACACCGCCCGUCGCUACUACCGAUUGAACGUUUUAGUGAGGUCCUCGGACUGUUUGCCUGGCGGUUUACCCUGCUUGGCUGGCGGGAAGACGACCAAACUUGAGCGUUUAGAGGAAGUAAAAGUCGUANCA